GAUGAACGCUAGCGAUAGGCUUAACACAUGCAAGUCGAGGGGCAGCAUGGUCUUAGCUUGCUAAGACUGAUGGCGACCGGCGCACGGGUGCGUAACGCGUAUGCAACUUGCCUCACGGAGGGGGAUAACCCGUCGAAAGACGGACUAAUACCGCGUACACUUGGGAUAGGGCAUCCUGACCCAAGGAAAUGAAAUUCGCUGUGAGAUAGGCAUGCGUCCCAUUAGCUAGUUGGUGAGGUAACGGCUCACCAAGGCGACGAUGGGUAGGGGAACUGAGAGGUUGAACCCCCACACUGGUACUGAGACACGGACCAGACUCCUACGGGAGGCAGCAGUGAGGAAUAUUGAUCAAUGGGCGAGAGCCUGAACCAGCCAAGUCGCGUGAAGGAUGACUGUCUUAUGGAUUGUAAACUUCUUUUAUACGGGAAUAACAAGAGCCACGUGUGGCUCCCUGCAUGUACCGUAUGAAUAAGCAUCGGCUAACUCCGUG
rnacentral:rRNA from 1 species